GCUAUUUCUUUGGGCCGCCCCCCCAGCAUAUGGAGGUUCCCAGGCUAGGGGUCGAAUUGGAGCUGUAGCCACCGGCCUAUGCCAGAGCCACAGCAACGCGGGAUCCGAGCCGCGUCUGCAACCUACACCACAGCUCACGGCAACGCCGGAUCAUUAACCCACUGAGCAAGGGCAGGGACCGAACCCGCAACCUCAUGGUUCCUAGUCAGAUUCGUUAACCACUGCGCCACGACGGGAACUCCUAAUAAUUAUUUAUGUUUACAUUUGAUAGAUGGUGUUUAAAUAUAUUUCUCUGUGUCUUAUGAUCUCUUGCAUUGGAAUACAGUGCCUCAAGAGAAAGGGUGCCAUCUUUUUCUUUUUUUAUGAUGCCUCACAGCUAGCAGUUCAAUGGGUGACAGAUAACUGGAAAAAUAGCCUGAUAUUUAUGAAUUAUUGUGAUUAUGAAUACAGCCUGAUAAGUGUAGAACUGUAUGUGACCAGAAACAUUUUGCACACUCUUAGGCUACUUUGAUUGGUUUUUGGUUGUUGUUUGUUUUGUUUUGAUUGGAUUUGUUACAUUGCUUUCCAGAGCCAAUAUUUCUUAAGAAAGUAUAUAUACAAUUAGUAUAUUCAUGGCAAAAUAAUUUGUAUAUAUACAAUUAUAUACAAAAUAAUUAGUAUAUAUACAAUUAGUAUAUUCAUGGCAAAAUAAUUUGAAAAAUCAUUAAAAUGCCCAUCCUUUAAAGUGUGUUAAACACAUCAGUUCAGGCAACAAUCCAGAUAUGCCAAACCCUUAUCCCUGAUGCGUAAGUACCACUAAGUCAGAGAUAUUUUCUAUCUUGUAUACCACUGAAUCCCAGGGCCUGAAACAGACUGGCAUUUAGUAAGUGUUCCUUAUAUUUGUCGAUUAAAUGAAAAUGUUGGAAUUUGGUUAUAUUAUUGUUGUCUUUCAUGUUAUUGUGUUAUAUUGUUGUCUUUUGUGUUAUUGCAGUUCCCAUACUGUUAUUCAUAAAUGAUCAAAAAAGCAAUUUAGGUUCAUCUUCUCAACAGAUAUUUAUUGCAUUUUUACCUAUUCCUUUGAACAGAGUGUUUCCUUUAGGAGCUCACAUUCUACAGCUGAAAAAUACCCUUUUGAACACAACAGAGUCAUUGGUAAAUCCCACAUAGUGGCCUGUCUUUUAAUCAAAACACCUUUGCUCAGAGCAAGGCUGUACCUCCAUUCUCUCAACCUCUGAUUUUUGCCAGCUUUGCAGAAAUAUAUUGAAGCAAUUAGCACUUUCCUAAAGAGCCCCUGAUUCUAUUCUGGGAUUCUACGGCUGACCAUGUUGUGCCUUUUCAAGUGGACUUGAUUACUCCAAUAAAACUGUUGGAAGGCUAUUUUUAUUUUUCUUGCAUGAUUUUUUUUUCUACCUCAUCCACAAUGGAUGAAAACAGAAUCUUCCUUUUGUCUGUGGGUUCACAUGAGGUUUUUCAGGGUGUCAUGGUUCCAUUAGAGACUUUCCCAAGUGCUUUUAUUAGGGUUUAUAUGACUCUGGUUGAUCUCUACAGGCUUUUAAAUUCAUAGACAUUUUGAUUUAUUCACAAACACCUUUUACUUAUUGGACUAUAAAUAGGUCUUUGAUGUGAGUCAUUCUUCUGGAGUAGUCCUGGUGGCCUCAGAACUUGGAACACAUUGAAUAGAACUCCAGACUUAAAGUAGUUGUCUGUUACUCCAAAUAGACUUCUAGAGGAUGCAGAGUUUAUGAGGGAAUUGUACUUUGCAAGGUAUUGUGAUAAUUGGGGAGUAUACAUUCCCUUUAGGGAAUUAAAUAUCCUCCUUCUCUUCCUCUCCUUCCACCUUCCUCUUCCUUCUCCUCCCUCCUACUGUGUCUCCUUAUUUUUCUUGAGCACCUAAAGAUCUACUUCCCUUUAUAAAGAUUCACAUUUACGUGGUAGAAAGAAAUGCUUUAUAGAUCCAUCAAAUAGGUAUGGGUAAUUAUUGUAAAUAGUCAUAUACAAUGAUUUAAAUACACAUUGCUCUGAAGGAUUGGUUCAUGAAAAUCCAGUUGACCCUUGAAAAAUGUAGGGUUUAAUCCACAUAUAACUUAAACUGGCCCUCUGUAUCCAUGGUUCCUCUACAUCCUCAGAUUCAACCAAUUACGGACUGUGUAACUGUAUUACUGAAACUGAAAAAUAUCAGUGUAUAAGUGGACUGGUGCAGUUCAAACCCACACUGUUUGAGAGUCAACUGUAAUUCUUUACAAUAUAUUUUCAGAUCUCAUGCCAUAAAUAAAUGAUACCUUUCUUUGUUAUUAAGAAAAUGACAAAAAGCAGUCUUUUAAAAAAAAAAAGUCAUUGUAAUCUUAUGAAAUGUUGCUUCCCAAUCAUAAAAGCAAAGAAGUUCAGAAGUAAAACCUAUCAUCUUGGCUGCUUUUGUUACAGGAAAUUGUCUUUCCUAUUUUCCCCUCCAUGGUCACCUCAUUGUUCCUGUUAUGUGAAAAGAGAUGGUGCCAUUGCCCUCUGAUUGCCUUAUACAUCAGUGCUUUCUCUCCUGAAACAGCCAUUUUCAGUCAAAUGCUUAAUGCUGUUUCAACAUGUCUUCACCCCAUCCCCCCCAACCUCCACCCCACUUUGCACUGCUGCAGAUGUUACCUUGUCAGAGCCCAGAAGUUCCCAAGAUGUGCACAGGAAGACAUGGCAGCAUGAGGCACAACCAUGACCUAAAGGAAAUAACAAAUUGCACGAGUGUGGCUGUGAGGAACAUACUGAUUUGGGACAUCUUUCUCUGAUGAAAUCUGUCAGGCUCUUAGUUUUCCAAAUGUGGGAACUUUUGUACUUGUUUUCCUCUUAGGCACAGGAUAAUUCCCAAGAGAGAUUCCAUUCAUUCCUCAUAGAGAAACAGAAGAAAAAGAAUGAAGCUGAACUAGUAGUUUGUUAGGAGAAUUGUGUUUACUCUGUGAUCUGAUUCGAGAAAUGGACUUGGAAUCUUAGCAAGUCCUAGCUAGAGCGUCUCCAUUUCGCAGCUGGGGCAUAUAGAGCUCAGCCAUGGAUUCUUCUGACUGGGGAAAAUUCAGUUACCUAGAACACGAAGCAAGCGAAUGAGAUGUACCUAGAGACUGACUGUUCCCAGUGUCAUUAAUGGGGGUCAUGUUUACAUUUUUACUGUUGUUAAUGAGUCCAAGCUAAUACUGCUCACUGCACCACAGGCCAGUAAAUUGAGGCAGGGAAUAGUUGUUGGGGCAAAGAAUAGUAACUUUACUUGGAAAACCAGCAGACUGAGAAGGUGGUGGACGAGCGUCUUAAAGAACCUCUUACGCAGGUUAGAAUUCAGGCUUUCUUUUAUACUAAAAAAGAAGGGGUGUGUUUGAUUGUUGUAAACUUGGUGUCAGAACCCUUUGUUCUUGUAGCUGUCCAUAUAGGUCUGGUCACAGUGUUCUUGUAAAUCUCCAACAACACAAAUAUUAUUCUCAGUUCUGCAACUUUUUAUCUCUAUAUGAAUGGAAAAGUAUUAUGCCUUUAAAAGUCAGAGACUUGAGAAUGGACUCGCCUGUAUAUUUCAGGCUAAGGGCAACAUUCUUAAUUUGUAGCAAAAGCAAUAGAAUACAAAAGUUACAGAAACAGAUCCAAUAUGGAAUCAGAUUUGUUUUUCCCUAUUGCAUUGUGACUAAUCUCUCAUCUAUUUUAAUACUUUCUUCAAAUCAGUGAUUACAAUAUAACUGAAUUCCUCAGAUAUUAGUAAGUACUUUUAUUUCUUAAUUUACCCACGUUGGUUCCUGGCCACUGUCGCCUUCUUCCUCCCUUAAGAGAUAGUUUCAGUAAUUUUUUUUUUAUGCUAAUAAGUGAUGCUCUUGAGGAUGAAACUAGAAGCUGAACCAUGCUUAAUGAAAUCGUUGGUCUUAAUUUUGGCAUUAGUCCAAAUUGAUGAAACAUACAGGGACUUUUGCCUUCAUUAUUUUAUUCAUCUUUUAUAGAAAAUGUGGAGACUUCUGGAUGGGUUUGGCUUUCUGCCAAUUAGUGUCACCACUGUUUUCCUGUGAUGCAUAUUCGCGUGAGUCAACAGAAACCUUUUUGACUAAGCAGAGUUAGAUUUAGCAAGCCCGUAUGCAUCAGGGUAUUCGAUGUGGGGGAAAUUAUAACAACAGGGCAGUGAGACCUCAGACAGAAGAAGCCUUGACCAAUAGGUUCCCCAAACAGUGGAGUCACCAUAGCCCCACACCACCUCACAUCUCCCCAGAACAAGUUCUCUGUGAUGGACACAGAAGUGCUCAGUUUUGUCAUCCCUUGCUCAUAGCCUCAGAAGAAUCUGACACCUGGAUCUUAGAGAGGGUGCAGCCUCUUUGAGGAAAGAGGCCCCAGCCCAGUGCCUCAUAUCUCUCUUCAUCCAGCCUUGAAACCAAGCCUUCCUGUGAAGACCCCUGGUGGUUUUUAAUGUAUCAUUCCAGUGAGGAGGCAUAGGACUUAACAGCAGAUCAAAGGGAAAAGGCUAAAAAGUAUUUCAUAAUGUGAUAUAGUGGGGGUAGCAAAAUCUUGGGCUUCAUUAAUAGAAAGAAAUUACCCAAAAUGACGAAUGUGUAUCAGUCGGACUCGGCUUUGGUUGUGAGUGAUGAAAAACACAAAAUCACGGUACUUUAAACCGAUAAGUGUUUAUUUCUCUUUCAUAAAAGUCCCAAGGUACGGUCCAGGAAAGAGGGACACUUUAGAGGAACUAUAUACCCCCUUGUUCUCAGCCCUGGCAUGUGGCUUCCAUGUGGGGAACAAGAGGGCUCCUCGGGGCUCAGUCAGGAAGAAGGAGGAGGUGGCAGCAGCAGCAGGGGCUACCCCCUCUUUAAGGACUCUUCUCCGAAGUCGCAUGCAAUACUUCCAUGUAAGUCUUAGUCUCGUGGUCACCCCUCACCCACCGCAGGAGUGGCAGGAACAUGUCGCUUUUAUUUGAGGUAGCUGUGUAGCCAACUAAAAAUCAAAGAUGGUAAAACUGAUGAACACGCAAAGGAUGGACAGUAUUCUCCCUUCUAGAACUUUGUCAGCGUUCUGCCCACUUCCCAGAAAACUAGUGGUCUCUCCAGGGGGACGUGAAAGACACCCCCCCCAACCCUUGUCUUGUUCACAGCACACCUAGGGUGUGCUUUUCACUUCCAGGAGCCUUUCACACUAUUAUAUAUAUAUAUAUAUAUAUAUAUAUAUAUAUUUGUGAACCAAUAAAUUCAGAGGGAAAUUCCCAGGAUGGUGUGAGGACUCCAUGUACCACAGUGUUGGUUAAACAAAUCGAUUGGACCAUGUCUGACGAAGAACAGGUGAAAGAGCUGGUGCUAUUUCACCAGGAAUGUACUCCUUUCUCAGAACAAACACGGGGAAGAUGUGAUGCCUGACCUAGACCAUUUGAAGAGCUGUUCGGUGUGUUCCCGGUGGAUAGGAUUAGAUUGUGCCCCAGUCAGUGAGUCUGAUUAGCGGCACCAAAUAAAGGAGUAUUUUCUGGUCCUCAGAGGCAUCUGCAGGUUGACUGAGCUGUGCCCGGAGGGUGGGAGGAGGGCGUGGGAGGGUCCAAGUGAAUUUGCUAUUGUCAAAGGGAUUGAAGGUGUGACUAUUGGGUCCACGGAUAGCCUUGUAACAUGUCAUCCUGGCUCUAGUCUUCCAGUCCCCCUAGUCUGUGCUCCGCAUUGCCACUGGUGAUCUUUUUGUUUGGUUGGUUUAGGUUUUGUUUGUCUUUUUAGGGCCACACUGAUGGCAUAUGGAAGUUCCUAGACUAGCAGUGGAAUAGGAGCUGCAGCUACCAGCCUACACUACAGCCACAGCUAUGCCAGAUCCCAGCCUUGUCUGCAACCUACACCACAGCUCACAGCAAUGCCAGAGCCUUAACCCACUGAGUGAGGCCAGGGAUCAAACCUGCAUCCUCAUAGAUACUAGUCGAGUUCUUAACCCACUGAGCCACAACAGGAACACCACCACUGGUGUCUUCUAUAUUCAAAAUAGAUCAGGUAACUUCCAAGAUCCAUCCCUCUCUGUGGCCCCGCCAUCACUUUCUGCUGCCCAGCUCCCCCUGACCUGGUCGUGGCUUACUCCCACCAAGUCUCCAGACAGAAUUUCCACUCCCCCCUCAUGUGUCAGAGUUUUCUCCCUUCUGGAACUUUGCCCAGGUUGUUCCCUCUUCCACAACCCUCUCCUUCACACGCACGCUCACACUUCACCUGGCUACCUCCUACACAUCCUGCAUCAUCACUUCCUCUCUGAAGUCUCCACUCCCACCUCCUCGGAAGGGGGUUUCCAAUAACCUCUGCGGCCUCUGUUAGCACAGCAUGUACUGCAGUUACUGCAAUUGUUUGUUUCAGGAUCUGUCUUGGCAGCUAAACUGUAAGCGCCCUGUAAGUAGAGGCGGGCAUCCUGGAUACAACAUGCAACCCGCUCAUCGUAGGUGACUGAAAAUAACAUGGAACCUUAGAGAAGAUCCUCAAGCAAAGGCUGAGGGGAAAUACAGUUUAAGGUUGAGGAAGAAGCAGUCGAGGUAGGAGUCGGGAGGAAGGGACCACAAACAGUGUUUUUUGCUCCAGCCCCCCCUGACAUUCUCUGUGGGGUUGUGGGGUUGAGAGGCGUGUGAGAGAAUUACUUCUCUUGGGUUCCUUGGGCCACCUCCCGGCCCCCAAGGAGGCAGAGCAACUGUUACCGUGGAAUUUGAAAUACUAGCUAUGUUAAUGGAGGUCAGAAUUACUGAGACUGGAUUUACAGCUCCCCAAAUUGACCCGGAUUUAUUUUCUAUUAUUCAAAAUUAGUUAUGUUGAAGGAGGAGCAAGGGGCUUCUUGGUGUAUAGAUGAUCACUAAUGUGUCUCUGGACUUAAAUCUUGUUUGGCUUUUAUCUGUUCUGGAGGAUGUGACUUGGGGUCCUGACCACAGCAGCAGCAGAAUUUGCAUGUGGGCAGCUCUGGCCUCCCAGACCUUAGUGACCUGGGCUGGCCACCCAUCUCUGCCUUGUCCUGGAGUGAUUUUUUUACAGGCUCUGAAUAAACGCCUGCCCUUAAAUACCUCCUGCCAUUUGCUUCUUAGCGCUUAACAUUCCACAUUUAGAGAAGAGGCCUCACAUUCAAGGGCCACAAGAAUGACAUGUUGAUUUAAAUUCACAUGGAGAUGUAUCGGCUCCUUCUGUGAUGUACUGGACCAUUGGGCUCCAGGGAAUAUGGAUGGGGAGUGAAAAAAAAUGGGGCGUUUGAGACCAGAGGGGCCAGGAAUUCUAAGUAGGUGGAGCAGGUUAAAAGACAGACUACAUUUAACUUAGAAUUUUGUUUAGCCUUAUUUAUCUCAAGCAUAACAGACAGAGGUAAUUUUUCGUUUGAGGCUGAUGGGAAAGGAGUAAUUCAGGCCCAAGAGUGGACCUCCUGCUUGGAGUUUUAUCCACUAAAACUACAGUGGGAUUUUCCACCUGGCAAUGCCCUUUACUGAGUGGGACAUGCAGCCCUACCUCUGCGGGACCACUGGUGGCUCAGUGAUCAUCCCUGCCUGCUCUUCAUCUGCCCAGGUCUCCUUUUCUUGGUACACACAGACCAUCAGAAAGUUGAUGAAUAGAGAAGCAAGUACCAUUUCCCCAAGAGAAGGAGUCUUAUGCUCAUGCAGCCCAGAAUAGUAGUCACCUUGAAAAAGAUUUUUUAAGUCUAGUCCUGCGCCGAAGCUGACUGGAGAUAACUUUUCCUAGAAUGGAAAUCACCCAACCGGCAUGAACUAUUUAUUUUCUUGAUUGCUGCAAGAAAGCACAUGAACAACAAUCUUAUUGUCUCCUCCAUUUUUGUUUUAAAAGGCAUGCAGCUGCUAAGAAUGUUGUGUGUACAAAGCAUUAAUUAACAACAGCCCCUUUUUAUUUAUAUUUACCCUCUAAAAAUUUAAUUGUUAAUUGCUUUUGUGCAGUGCUCAGUUUGUUCCUCUUUCUGUAGAUUUGCGUGCAGUGAAAUUAAACAUUUUAAAAUGUGUAGAUGAUCGGAGAGGUUUAAUUCUCUUGAUAUAUACAGUGACAGUGUUUCAAUUCUAUAAACAAAACCCACUGGUACAAUUAAUCAUUAACCUACUUGCGGUAGGGAUUAAGGGAGAGAACGAAUGUUAACUCUUUUGUGACUUAAGGUAAAUCAGCAGGAAAGAUGAUGGAGUGUGUAAUUUUUGUUGUCUA
rnacentral:lncRNA from 1 species